rnacentral:lncRNA from 1 species
UCUCUUCUGUGUGUCCACAGAUUGUAAGAUCAUGCAUACGUAUUCAAGUUGAUUCUUUUCCAGCCUUAGGAACCCGAUAAACCCUAGGAACAUAUCUGAAGCAGGGACACCUCAGAGAGUUUUUACUCAUGAUGGAGUGGAUACAGGCACAUCGCAGAACCAGGGAAGGAGCAAGAGAGGUGAGUUUGGGGAUAACUCACUCACUAUUGUGAGGACAGCACCAAGCCA